rnacentral:miRNA from 1 species
AUCACUUAGCUGACGGUAGGGAC